rnacentral:rRNA from 1 species
UGGGGAAUAUUGCACAAUGGGCGCAAGCCUGAUGCAGCCAUGCCGCGUGUAUGAAGAAGGCCUUCGGGUUGUAAAGUACUUUCAGCGAGGAGGAAGGCGUUGUGGUUAAUAACCGCAGCGAUUGACGUUACUCGCAGAAGAAGCACCGGCUAACUCCGUGCCAGCAGCCGCGGUAAUACGGAGGGUGCAAGCGUUAAUCGGAAUUACUGGGUGGAAAGCGCACGCAGGCGGUCUGUCAAGUCGGAUGUGAAAUCCCCGGGCUCAACCUGGGAACUGCAUCCGAAACUGGCAGGCUAGAGUCUUGUAGAGGGGGGUAGAAUUCCAGGUGUAGCGGUGAAAUGCGUAGAGAUCUGGAGGAAUACCGGUGGCGAAGGCGGCCCCCUGGACAAAGACUGACGCUCAGGUGCGAAAGCGUGGGGAGCAAACA